CCUCUGGUUGGAACCAUGUUCUGAUACUUCUUGUCUCUGUCCAUAGUAUUUGCAUCAGGUAGGAAGUGACCAUUUUAAAACUGGAGAGAACAAGCACCAAGAGGUGAGGCCAGAAGCAUGAAGUAGGUGAAAGGCAAAGGGGGCCACAGGAGAGGAAAUCCACCCUGACUGGGACGUGAUGUGGGCAUGUUUCCAAGACUGGAAAAGUCCAGGAGGUGCCAUCGCAAAUGUGUGGGGGAGAUGCACGAGAGGGACACUGCUAUAGUCAGCACAGCAGUCUCUCCUCUGCAGACAAUCAUCUGAACAGGAGCAGAGGCUGGACUCUAAUCUCGUCUCCCCACAACGAAAUCUAUUGCAUGUCCAUAUUCGAGCUGCAAAAUUACACAGUUCAGUUGCCAGCAUAUAACUUCUGAAAGUUCUGUUUUACAAAUUGUGUUCUGUGGAGAACUGGAAUCAGAAUCACUAAGAAUCACCAGAUUUCCAAGUAAGUCUUGUGCAUCCUGAAAUCUGAGAGCCACUGCCAAUGAAACUAAAUAAGAUGAUUAACUCGAAUCAUAGUGAAACUCCACUGUGACAUAUGUACUCCAUGCAAUGUGUACAGCAUCUUGUCUGCUAGAGACUAGUACUCCUCAACCUCAAUAAAAUCA